rnacentral:lncRNA from 1 species
AAGAAGAAAUGUAGCUUAGAAACCAUUCUUCCAUAAAACCAAAACCAUAUCUCCUUAAGAGGAUGUUGGAAAAUCAGCCUUUCUCAUAAAGUAGUUUUCCCCACAAGUUUAAACACAUUACUCCACUAUAAGUUUAGAGACUAUUUUAAAAAACUAUUAUGCUUCAGCUUUUCCUGCAGUUCUCUCUUUCUUGUCUCUUACAUACUUCUCUGUGAUCUGGUCCAACAAUUAUUGCCAUGGCAACAAAGGCUCUGUGACAUCUCUAGCAAGCUCAUUGUCUUCUGCCUUAUUAAACUUUAAUGGGUAACUAGUAGACAGUAACACUCUGGGAGGGCUCAAACCACAUAACCAAAUGUGCCAAGAUAAUCCUGAGCUCACUAUUGUCAGUCCUGAAGAUUUUCCUCAGAUAAUCUUUCAUCUCUUUGUUCCUGAGACUAUAUAUUAGAGGAUUACAGAGUGGUGUUAUCACAGAAAAGAACAAGUGGAUUUUUAUCUGAGAUCUACAACUUAUGAAGAAUACAAAUGAUGUAUAUUCUUUUCUACUCUUCAUGUAUGGACUAGAGGGGCUUGCACAUAAGAAAAAAAUGGCUGAGACCCACAGGAACAAAGAAACAGGACAGGAGUUAGAUGCAGAGAAGAGAUUUCAACAAAAGUUUGGAAAAGAUGCUAACGGUAGCAUAUGAGUCACAGACAGAACAUUGGCACCUUUGUUUAAGAAACUGAAUGUUAAUGUCACAUCUGCCUUUGGAGAUUACAAAUGAAAUGGCUACCUUUCUACUGGAACCCUGACCAGAAGUCUGCCAGUUAGUAAGCUGGCUUAAGAGAUCAAUCUAAAAUUUACAUAAGGCUUUUGAAAAAAAGAAAAAAGAACCCAAAGGCACAGAUUGACGUUAUAAGUCCUGAUUUUUGACUUGACUUCUCAUCACCUGGAAGUGAAUAAAGCAGUAGACUUCUCUAACAUUUUGUAACACAGCAUGAAAAAAUAUAGAGUACAAAAGAUAUAUAUAUAUAAUAUGAUAAAAUGAUGAGUUACGUUUCUAAAUCUUUUAUCAUCUUACUGUCAUUUCUCUAUAUUUGGUCUAGCCAGACUUCUAUUCAUUUUGUCACUU